AAGCACCGGCUAACUCCGUGCCAGCAGCCGCGGUAAUACGGAGGGUGCGAGCGUUAAUCGGAAUUACUGGGCGUAAAGGGUGCGUAGGUGGUUGAUUAAGUUAUCUGUGAAAUUCCUGGGCUUAACCUGGGACGGUCAGAUAAUACUGGUUGACUCGAGUAUGGGAGAGGGUAGUGGAAUUUCCGGUGUAGCGGUGAAAUGCGUAGAGAUCGGAAGGAACACCAGUGGCGAAGGCGGCUACCUGGCCUAAUACUGACACUGAGGCACGAAAGCGUGGGGAGCAAACAGGAUUAGAUACCCUGGUAGUCCACGCUGUAAACGAUGUCAACUAGCUGU
rnacentral:rRNA from 1 species